GCCGGGCCACCCCGGAUCCCCUCGGCCACGUCCCCCUGGGCGCCUGCAGUGACCUCGGGUCCAGGGCUGACCGUCGGCUCUGCUUUAGGGCCCCCCCAAACUGUUCCACGGCCUCUGCGGGGCGAACCUGGUCUGGGGAGGAUCUGGCCGGCGACAAAGCCCUCGCAUGUGCUCGUUCGGCAGCCACAGCGACACAGAGUCCCCCGGAGACAAGUGGGUGUCCCCCGGGAGCUGAGCAAGGCCAGCAUCGGCGUGGAGGUCACGAGGGGACAGACCCGGAGACCCAGUCGCAGCUCCCGAAAGCCAGGGCCCGGGCGUGGAGCAGAGUCUUCCUCGCUCCCCUCCGAGGCAACCAGCCCCGUGGACACCGACCGUGGGCCCCUCGCCCCCAGGACCGCCAGACAUGACAUAUUUGCAGCGGAACGGACAUUAGAGACCUGCUUGCACCCCAAAGCCGGGUCCUUUGGGUGGUUGGUCGGCAAGACCCCCAGCCUGCCCAGAGAGAAGCCUCCACGCCUGGGCCCAGGUUUUCAGAUCUGCCAGCCUUGAGCUCAUCGACCGGAGGUUUCCGAUCUUCAUAGUAGUUGCGACUUAUUGGAGCCAUCGGUGCAGGUACACAGACCCCAAAAUAUAUCCCACCUCAUUAAGAGCGAAAAGUUUGUGAGGUGUACCCCCAAGGUUUUUCUCCAAGCUUCCUCUGAGCGGCCUCCUGUACGGCGUCAGAGCUUGGUGGCAUGCAAGGUGUCACAGGAGAGCGGAACUCGAGAUUUUCCAACCGGCUUUCCAUCAAACGUUGUAUGAAGAGCUGCUGCUUCAUACACUCUCGCCGCAGGGACUCGUAGAACUUCGUCUUCGCUCGCAGCAGGGAGAGCCAUCCGGCCUGUCUUUGGGCCAAAUCCAGAUAUUUCUGGUGUGAAAUUAAAUCAUCCCUGAAGUCACCCAUGAUGAGGAUUUGGGGGGACAACAUGGAAAGACUGCGACCUGCCAAGAAAAACCAGGAGUGAGCAGAUUUGAAUGACACCAAAAAAGAUUCCAGCACAAAGGGGCCUGUUUCCAAAGAAAAAGCUCUUCUGACUAUAAAUAUACACUGACAAACUGCAUACAGAAUGUCCCAGAAUUAGGGUAGGUUAGCAGAGAGCUAGCAUCCCACAAUUUGCAAAG